GCCAGCAGCCAUAUCACCCUGCAGCUCACAAUCAGCUCACUGCAGCUUAACAGGUGUGAGCCUGGUCAGUACCUGGAUGAGAGACCUCCUGGGAAAAACUAAGGUUGCUGGAA
rnacentral:rRNA from 1 species